rnacentral:rRNA from 1 species
UACAGAGGUCCCGAGCGUUUGUUCGGAUUCACUGGGCGUAAAGGGUGCGUAGGUGGCUGGGAAAGUUUGAUGUGAAAGCUCAGGGCUUAACCCUGAAAUGGCAUUGAAUACUGCCUGGCUGGAGGUUUGGAGGGGGGACUGGAAUUCUUGGUGUAGCAGUGAAAUGCGUAGAUAUCAAGAGGAACACCAGUGGCGAAGGCGAGUCCCUGGACAACACCUGACACUGAGGCACGAAAGCCGGGGGAGCAAACAGG